rnacentral:lncRNA from 13 species
AGCUAAAAGUCAAUUACUCCAGCAGAAGUUCUAAGGAACUCCUUUCGUUGCCCCAGGCUCUUGGAGAAGGCACAUGACGUCAAACACUGGAUAAUCCAUAGUAUGGUCCCCUCCAUAUUUUAAAGGGCAACCGCUCCCAGGCACAGAGAAUUGAGAAGAGAGGAUUAACAUUUGGGUGAGGUGAGGCACCUGGAAGAAGCCUUGAAAUACGUUUCCUAUUGUGAACUCUGGACUCCUUAGAUUCAGGUAAUAUAUUAAACAAUAAUGUCCAUGUGAGUAUUAUUU